rnacentral:lncRNA from 1 species
AACAACCUCAUGAAUCUUUAAAAAAAUUGAUGGCCCUCGCCUCUCUCUUUGAUAAACCAACAUAUUCACCUAUACCUCAAUCUCCUCUCUUAUCUCCUAUUAUUCUAUUCUCUGAAAACUUCAAAAGCUAACCACAUCACUUAAAUAACCCUUCUUUCAUUUUAAAAAGGGCAGAAGAAAUAAAAGAAUAGGGUGUGGUAACCUUCCUCUAUAAAUAAAAAAAACUAGAAAACUUUAGCUCAUCUUCUUCUUCCCUUCACCUUGCCUCAAAACCAACAACCUUUACUACACAAACACCACCACGACCUCCAUUACAACUCCCUACUUCACUGUCGUUCCCCCACCGGUGGAACCAUAACCACCAUCCACUUACCGUCUUCAAACAAUGACACCCUCACUCUCACCACCGUGAGCUCAUGCAUCAUCUUCACUCUCCUCUCAACAAACAUACCUCAC